rnacentral:rRNA from 1 species
UGGGGAAUAUUGGACAAUGGGCGGAAGCCUGAUCCAGCCAUGCCGCGUGUGUGAAGAAGGCCUUUUGGUUGUAAAGCACUUUGAGCGAGGAGGAGGCUCUUCUAGUUAAUACCUAGGAUGAGUGGACGUUACUCGCAGAAUAAGCACCGGCUAACUCUGUGCCAGCAGCCGCGGUAAUACAGAGGGUGCGAGCGUUAAUCGGAUUUACUGGGCGUAAAGCGUGCGUAGGCGGCUGAUUAAGUCGGAUGUGAAAUCCCUGAGCUUAACUUAGGAAUUGCAUUCGAUACUGGUCAGCUAGAGUAUGGGAGAGGAUGGUAGAAUUCCAGGUGUAGCGGUGAAAUGCGUAGAGAUCUGGAGGAAUACCGAUGGCGAAGGCAGCCAUCUGGCCUAACACUGACGCUGAGGUACGAAAGCAUGGGGAGCAAACAGG